rnacentral:lncRNA from 1 species
GCGGAAGGGGCGGGCAGGAGAGAUCAGUGGAAGACUCAGCCAACUUUAGUCUUGGACCCAGAGGAGGCCAGGCCAGAGCAGGGGCAGGCCAGAAGACGGGCCUGAGUGGGCGGGGGCAGGGCUGAGAAGACCCUAGAGAACAGCGGUUCUCAACCAAUGAAGGAAAAUAGUGGAGACGUCAUCAGUAACGCCUAUGGUCACACUGCCAAUGGAUGCUGCAGAGGCUGUGCUGUGUGGUACCCAGCUCCCAGUCUCGCAAUCCCCAAGCCAGCUGGUCACUCACCCCUGCAGGCUUAGGUCAUCACACCCAGCUCUAGCACCAUCAUCCAGAUCCCCAGCCCUAACUUCAUCAGUCCUAGUUCAUCACCCACAGCCCCUAACUCUGAGAAUAAAUGAUAGUUCACACUAUAA